UAAUAAACAUCACAACACCAGCUGGUAAGUUAUUUAAGCCGCUGAUUUUAAAAAGAAGACUUGCCUUCUCGUUCCUAUUUGACUACAUUACCCACAAUGCAAUAGAAACCGCAGCAGGUGCCGCUAGCGCUAGCUAGCUCAACAAACAAACUUGCCGCUGUGGGGAGAAAACUGGUAAAAGCGUCGAUUUAUUUGGAUUCAUCACUGUAAUUUGACCAUUAAGGACAAAACCAGCUUCAGACUUCAGUCAUCUUUGAAAAACUUGUUGAAGGUCUCUACUUCCAAUCCUUUCUACCUCAACCAAAGACCGGAUCUCCAAGUCUGUGUGACGUUUCCACCUGAAAAGACCCAGUUUUCAGCAUUUUCAACGUUCUUAAGGCCUGUUCACACCGGGACGAAUUUUGCGCGCGAUAUUCGCCGACGUUUAAUGCC